rnacentral:sRNA from 1 species
UCCUAAUCGCGUUAGGGAUUGAAGCGGCAUCCUUUUUUUUAUGAAACAGCGUGAAAUAAAAAAAAGAUAUAGCGUAAAGCCCGACCCGAA